UAGGGAAUAUUGGUAAUCUGGGAAACCGGGAACCAGCCACGCCGCGUGCGCGAUGAAGGCCUUCGGGUUGUAAAGCGCUUUUUGAGAGGAUGAGGAAGGACAGUACUCUUAGAAUAAGCCUCGGCUAACUACGUGCCAGCAGCCGCGGUAAAACGUAGGAGGCGAGCGUUAUCCGGAUUUACUUGGCGUAAAGCGUGUGUAGGCGGUUUGAUAAGUUGGAUGUGCAAUCUCCUGGCUUAACUGGGAGAGGUCGUUCAAAACUAUCAGACUUGAGAGUGGUAGAGGGAGGUGGAAUUCCGCAUGUAGUGGUGAAAUGCGUAGAUAUGCGGAGGAACACCAGUGGCAAAAGCGGCCUCCUGGCCCAUUUCUGACGCUCAGACACGAAAGCUAAGGUAGCAAACG
rnacentral:rRNA from 1 species